CUUACUUUCCCAGGCCGUCCCAAACAGUCUUAUCUGCACUUCCAGCUGUCAAUAUAACACGAUACAAUACAUUCACGCGCGAUUCAAACUUAACAGCAGCAACUGGCUCCACAAGUUCAGAAGAUCGACAUCGAUAAAAGUCUCCGUUUAAGAAAACAUACGAGAAGAAACUCGGACGGAGGGCGGGAGGAAAGGGAAAGCCAGAGGGGUGUUUUCUCUUCACGAGGGGAAGGACUAAAAUAGUGAGAAAUAAUUCAUUAAACAGCGUGAAAUGUCUAAAUACAUUGACUUUUAGCUUACAGUCGCGAUGUCGACAUCAGUUUUGCGAUAAAAGUGUUACAAGCUCUUGGUGCAUAAAGAAGAUCUGUAAAGUUGCAAAGACUAACAUCUCAAAUCCAAAGAGAUAUUCUUUAUAAAAGUUAAGUCAACCACGCCCUCCUAAAAUGCCUCGUUUAAACACGCCCCCACAUAUCUACGUCACGGUGUGGGAAGAUUUGCAUAACACCGCCCAAAUGUUCACGCAAAGAAAGGAGGCGUAACUUUGAUUCUUGCUGUAGUGUUGUUGCCGCCACCGCUAUUGUGGAGAUGCUGUGUAUUUCAUUGUGAAAGCGAAACUACUUUGUUUGGCCUUCCAAAAG
ensembl:lncRNA